rnacentral:rRNA from 1 species
UACGUAGGUGACAAGCGUUGUCCGGAUUUACUGGGCGUAAAGAGCGCGCAGGCGGUCGAUCAAGUCGAGUGUGAAAGCCCCCGGCUCAACUGGGGAGGGUCAUUCGAUACUGAUCGACUCGAAGGCAGGAGAGGGUAGUGGAAUUCCGGGUGUAGUGGUGAAAUGCGUAGAUAUCCGGAGGAACACCAGUGGCGAAGGCGGCCACCUGGGCUGUACCUGACGCUCCAACACGAAAGCUAGGGGAGCGAACGGG